AUCCUCAGGUGUGCUCAAUUAGCGGGCAGAAGAUGAAGUAGUCCAUGGAGGAUGGGGGCAUGUUGAGUCACUGGUUUUUGUCACCAUUUUGCUUGGCAUCAACGGUUAAUGCUUGAAAAACACAGAGGGGAUGACAAAGGGCAUCUAGAGGAAGAAGAGGAAGCUGCCAGUCAUCUCCUAACGACAUUGGAGUUCAUCUGACAUCGCCUCAACCUGCUCAAAGGCAGACCAUCACUCCUGAGGACAUGACACAUGUGGAUCUGGACAUUGUGAAGAUAAAUCUAAAUAGUUGCAUCUCUGGCAUUAAAGAGCGCGCUCCAUCUGCUGAAAGACACCCAGGAGGAAGUGCAGGUCUGUUGAUGAAUUUCAGCCAUGUUUUGAUGAGUGAAUGGCUCUCAGCGCUCUAUAAAGGACCCACUGAGGGGUUUGAUGAAGCCGGAUGGUGAACAGUGAGGAAGGCAGAACCCCGGCAAUGUUUCUCUCACCUCCGCCGUUUGGCACAGUUUUGGUCCUGCUGAGAUUUAUAUUAGCAAUUGAAAUUAAAGUCUGGCCAUGUGGAGGAGAAACAGCUGCACACAGCUGCAUAUUUUCACAUUUAUACACAACGUGCAUGAUGAAAAAGGGUUGAAAUGUGGUGCUUUUGACAAAAUUAGUGGUGAAUUUAGCAAGUAUCAAAAAAAAUAAGUUUGAAGAUAGACAUAUUGGAGAAAUAGAAAAAUAAAAAAAAU